rnacentral:rRNA from 1 species
GGAGGGGGAUAACGGCUGGAAACGGCCGCUAAUACCCCAUAUGCCGAGAGGUGAAAUGAAUUUCGUCUGAGGAUGAGCCCGCGUCUGAUUAGCUAGUUGGUGGGGUAAAGGCCUACCAAGGCGACGAUCAGUAGCUGGUCUGAGAGGAUGAUCAGCCACACUGGGACUGAGACACGGCCCAGACUCCUACGGGAGGCAGCAGUGGGGAAUUUUCCGCAAUGGGCGAAAGCCUGACGGAGCAACGCCGCGUGAGGGAUGAAGGCCUCUGGGCUGUAAACCUCUUUUCUCAAGGAAGAAGAACUGACGGUACUUGAGGAAUAAGCCACGGCUAAUUCCGUGCCAGCAGCCGCGGUAAUACGGGAGUGGCAAGCGUUAUCCGGAAUUAUUGGGCGUAAAGCUUCCGCAGGCGGCCUUGUAAGUCUGUUGUUAAAGCGUGGAGCUCAACUCCAUUUAAGCAAUGGAAACUACAAGGCUGGAGUGUGGUAGGGGCAGAGGGAAUUCCCGGUGUAGCGGUGAAAUGCGUAGAUAUCGGGAAGAACACCAGUGGCGAAGGCGCUCUGCUGGGCCAUAACUGACGCUCAUGGACGAAAGCCAGGGGAGCGAAAGGGAUUAGAUACCCCUGUAGUCCUGGCCGUAAACGAUGAACACUAGGUGUCGGGGGAAUCGACCCCCUCGGUGUCGUAGCCAACGCGUUAAGUGUUCCGCCUGGGGAGUACGCACGCAAGUGUGAAACUCAAAGGAAUUGACGGGGGCCCGCACAAGCGGUGGAGUAUGUGGUUUAAUUCGAUGCAACGCGAAGAACCUUACCAGGGUUUGACAUCCUGCGAAUCCCUUGGAAACGAGGGAGUGCCUUCGGGAGCGCAGUGACAGGUGGUGCGUGGCUGUCGUCAGCCCGUGUCGUGAGAUGUUGGGUUAAGUCCCGCAACGAGCGCAACCCACGUCUUUAGUUGCCAGCAUUCAGUUGGGCACUCUAGAGAGACCGCCGGUGAUAAACCGGAGGAAGGUGUGGAUGACGUCAAGUCAUCAUGCCCCUUACAUCCUGGGCUACACACGUACUACAAUGCUACGGACAAAGGGCAGCAAGCUCGCGAGAGUUAGCAAAUCCCAUAAACCGUGGCUCAGUUCAGAUCGUAGGCUGCAACUCGCCUACGUGAAGGAGGAAUCGCUAGUAAUCGCAGGUCAGCAUACUGCGGUGAAUACGUUCCCGGGCCUUGUACACACCGCCCGUCACACCAUGGAAGUUGGCCAUGCCCGAAGUCGUUACUCCAACCCUUGUGGAGGAGGACGCCGAAGGUGGGGCUGAUGACUGGGGUGAAGUCGAAACAAGGUA